rnacentral:lncRNA from 1 species
GGUGUUUUCAAGCCAAACUGGUGGCUGACAGUAAGACCUAGGGUCAUGGGGAGAACAGAAAGAGAGGGAGAAGGUGGGAUCGAAGUCUUACCUUGGCUCUGGCGGCAUCUUCGGCUUUAAUUUUUGGCGAGCACAAGCAAGAGAGGCUGUGGCUUCAAUGGGAGGAAAUAGGGAGAGAGAAGCCCGAUGUUCACCGAUGGAGGGCCUUAGGGGGCG